CAGCCAUAUGUUGUUACACCACGUGUGACAAUUUUAUGUUAUCGGGCAUAUGUUUAUGGGAAUCAGAUAUGCAGCCGUCACAGCCAGCUGAUGAAGAUCCUCAGCUUAUACAGAGGUCAGGCUUGAGCUAUGUGCUGAUUCAAAAGAUGCUAAUGACAGUGGAUAAUCCAUUCUGAGCUGUUCUAGGACCAUUCACCAACGUUCCAAAACACUGAUGGAACUGAAGGCAGUACCUGUAUUGGUGUCUGGCCUGUGAUUUCAAGUUUAAUUGAUGUACCUCCUCCUGAUGUAUCUCCUUGAAUACAAUAUAUCUGCCAUGUGAAAGGAACAAGCUGAUGGAUAUACUGUGGAAGUGGGGGCCUAUGUAAAAAACAUUUUAUUUAAAGAAUAUAAGAAAUCUGACACUAAACUACUGAAAAGGUGCACAGGGGACAUUUUUGUGUGUAUAGACUUUCAUCAAGAUUCUGAGAAAGUUGAUUUAUUAAACAAAAAUAGAAAAGUGAUGGGGUUAUGAAACUGUAGUGUUCAACAUUUAAAUUGUUGUUUUUUUGGGGGGUUUUUUUUCACUACAUUUUGUGAAGAGGGUUCCAUCACAAGAUGCGACAUAUUGCCUGGUAAGAAUUAGAUGUAGUUUAUGAAAAAAAGUAUUUUGCUUUAAAUGUGCAGACUUUAAGUCACAUAAAAAAUCAAAGCUGUAACAAUAAAGCUUGAUUAAAAAAACACACUGUUGAAAACUAGCCUUCAUGUAAAUGUCACACUUUUUUGGGUGCACAGGGGACACAAUUAGCUAUAUAAUUUAAUAUAACUUUAACCCUUAGGCCCUUGCUAAAUUACUAUAAUGAACUUGUCCGUUUAACAAUUUGGACAGUAUUAUUAAGUGUUAAAAGGGGUGCUAACCAAAAGAUACUGACUGAAUGGCGAACAGUGCAGAUUAAGAUCAGACUGCACAGAUGUGCAGGCUGAUCAUGAUCUACACUUGUCGCAAAGGUAGGACCAACCAUGUACAGCAUGAUAAGGGUUAAAACUGCUUGAGCCAUUCAGCUGAAAUUGCAAACAUUUGUUGACUACAUUGAUUGGAUAUAUGUAAUUUGCCCCAAAACACUUUAUAAAACUGAACUGAAUUAAAAUAAGGUGAGAGAGAAGGAAAAGCUUAAUUAUUUAAAAAAAAACCUAUAUAGCCGAUAGAUAUACAUUGUUGAAGGCAUUAUCUUUGUUUACAUUAAAUUUAAAUGUGGCUGC